UACGUAGGGGGCAAGCGUGGUCCGGAUUUAUUGGGCGGAAAGAGCGUGUAGGCGGCUAGGUAGGGCCGAUGGGAAAACUCGAGGCUCAACCUCGAGACGCCGGUGGAAACCAUCUAGCUAGAGUCCGGAAGAGGAGAGUGGAAUUCCUGGUGUAGCGGUGAAAUGCGCAGAUAUCAGGAAGAACACCCGUGGCGAAGGCGGCUCUCUGGUACGUGACUGACGCUGAGACGCGAAAGCGUGGGGAGCGAACAGG
rnacentral:rRNA from 1 species